CAGAGGGUGCAAGCGUUGUUCGGAUUUACUGGGCGUAAAGCGCGUGUAGGCGGUGACAUAAGUCGGAUGUGAAAUCCCUCGGCUUAACCGAGGACGUGCACCCGAUACUGUGCCACUUGAGUACCGGAGGGGAUGGCGGAAUUCCUGGUGUAGAGGUGAAAUUCGUAGAUAUCAGGAGGAACACCUGUGGCGAAGGCGGCCAUCUGGACGGUAACUGACGCUGAGACGCGAAAGCGUGGGUAGCAAACAGGAUUAGAUACCCUGGUAGUCCACGCUGUAAACGAUGAGUGCUAGGCGUCGCGGGUAUUGACCCCUGCGGUGCCGAAGUUAACACGUUAAGCACUCCGCCUGGGGAGUACGGUCGCAAGAUUAA
rnacentral:rRNA from 1 species